GACGAACGCUGGCGGCGUGCUUAACACAUGCAAGUCGAACGGAAAGGCCCUGCUUUUGUGGGUGCUCGAGUGGCGAACGGGUGAGUAACACGUGAGUAACCUGCCCUUGACUUUGGGAUAACUUCAGGAAACUGGGGCUAAUACCGGAUAGGAGCUCCUGCUGCAUGGUGGGGGGUGGAAAGUUUCGGCGGUUGGGGAUGGACUCGCGGCUUAUCAGCUUGUUGGUGGGGUAGUGGCUUACCAAGGCUUUGACGGGUAGCCGGCCUGAGAGGGUGACCGGCCACAUUGGGACUGAGAUACGGCCCAGACUCCUACGGGAGGCAGCAGUGGGGAAUAUUGCACAAUGGGCGGAAGCCUGAUGCAGCAACGCCGCGUGCGGGAUGACGGCCUUCGGGUUGUAAACCGCUUUCGCCUGUGACGAAGCGUGAGUGACGGUAAUGGGUAAAGAAGCACCGGCUAACUACGUG
rnacentral:rRNA from 1 species